rnacentral:rRNA from 1 species
AACGAACGCUGGCGGCAUGCCUAACACAUGCAAGUCGAACGAGACCUUCGGGUCUAUUUGCGCACGGCUGCUUAACGCCUGGGAACCUGCCCUUAAGUUCGGAAUAACUGCCCUAGAGGGAUGCUAAUACCGCUUAAUGUCUUCGGACCAAAGAUUUAUCGCCGUGGGAUGGGCCUGCGUUGGAUUAGCUGGUUGGUAGGGUAAAAGCCUACCAAGGCGACGAUCCAUAGCUGGUCGGUGAGCAUGAUCAUGCACACUGGGACUGAGCCAAGGCUAAGACGCCUACGAGCGGUAGCAGUGGGGACUAUAGGACAGGAGGCGAAAGCCUGAACCAGCGAUGCCGCGAGAGUGAUGAAGGCCUUAGGGUUGUAAAGCUCCUUUACCCGGGAUGAUGAUGACAGUACCGGGAGAAUAAGCUCCGGCAAACACCGU